UACGGGAGGCAGCAGUGGGGAAUCUUGCGCAAUGGGCGAAAGCCUGACGCAGCCAUGCCGCGUGAAUGAUGAAGGUCUUAGGAUUGUAAAAUUCUUUCACCGGGGACGAUAAUGACGGUACCCGGAGAAGAAGCCCCGGCUAACUUCGUGCCAGCAGCCGCGGUAAUACGAAGGGGGCUAGCGUUGCUCGGAAUUACUGGGCGUAAAGGGCGCGUAGGCGGAUCGUUAAGUCAGAGGUGAAAUCCCAGGGCUCAACCCUGGAACUGCCUUUGAUACUGGCGAUCUUGAGUAUGAGAGAGGUAUGUGGAACUCCGAGUGUAGAGGUGAAAUUCGUAGAUAUUCGGAAGAACACCAGUGGCGAAGGCGACAUACUGGCUCAUUACUGACGCUGAGGGCGCGAAAGCGUGGGGAGCAAACAGGGAUUAGAUACC
rnacentral:rRNA from 1 species